rnacentral:rRNA from 1 species
UACGGAGGGGACUAGCGUUGUUCGGAUUUACUGGGCGUAAAGAGCGCGUAGGCGGUGUAUUAAGUUAGAAGUGAAAGCCUGGGGCUUAACCCCAGAAAUGCUUCUAAAACUGAUACGCUAGAGUGCGGGAGAGGAUAGUGGAAUUCCUAGUGUAGAGGUGAAAUUCUUAGAUAUUAGGAGGAACACCGGUGGCGAAAGCGACUAUCUGGAACGUUACUGACGCUGAGGCGCGAAAGCGUGGGGAGCAAACAGG